GGUCAACAUCCAAAUCUACACCAUCUUCCCCGUUCAGUAGGUGGGACAGGUGAGGGCUCCCAGCAGCAAAUGCAUGGCAUGGUGCCAGGCAUUUUUAGGCCAUGGGAUUAGGUAAUCCUGAACCUAGUAGUAGGACCGUCGGGGCGACGAUCCGUCAGUGGGGGGGUAGAAUGUAGUGGGACGAACUUGGGUGUCUCUUUAAAUUUGUUCCAUCAGUUGUCCAAUCAUACACAUUCACGGUUCUAUAAAAGGGGACUUUUAAUGCACCGUGUUGUGCUCACCUCUUGUGCGUCAUUGCCCGAGGCCCGCCCCUUCCUGGCUUAGACUCUUCCUGUCUUGCAGUUCCCGACAUAUAACUGUCUCAUGUUGCUUGGCGACUGCUUUUAAAUGCACUCCCGCUGCAUUCCCAUACCUUCUUGCCGGUUUGAUGUCUGUUUGCGUGUGCGGCUGGACGUGUGAUCAUAGCUACAAUAAAAAGGUGGAACAGUUUUAAGGAGGACUCAUUCAGUGCAGCCUGCGGGCAAACGUAUUUUGAUGCUGCUGCUUUGUUUAUGUUGUUUCAUGUCUGUUUUGCAAUCUAACGCAGAGGCGUGAGUUGGCGCGGGUAUUGGUCCU